UACGUAGGGUGCAAGCGUUAAUCGGAAUUACUGGGCGUAAAGCGUGCGCAGGCGGUUUUGUAAGUCUGUCGUGAAAUCCCCGGGCUCAACCUGGGAAUGGCGAUGGAGACUGCAAGGCUAGAGUUUGGCAGAGGGGGGUAGAAUUCCACGUGUAGCAGUGGAAAUGCGUAGAUAUGUGGAGGAACACCGAUGGCGAAGGCAAGCCCCCUGGGUCAAGACUGACGCUCAUGCACGAAAGCGUGGGGAGCAAACAGG
rnacentral:rRNA from 1 species